UUUGAAAAUAUUUUUUUGUUCUAAAAUUUUUUUUUCGAAUUUCAAAUUUCCGAGUGUCUACUAGAAAAUCGAAUAAAAAUAAGAAAACAAGAUAGAAAAACGGAACGAAAACCACUUUCUUCAUAUAUAUUUUU
ensembl:ncRNA Y47H9C.20 ncRNA